ensembl:snRNA U6 U6 spliceosomal RNA
GUGCUCACUUUGGCAGCACAUAUACUAAAAUUGAAAUGAUACAGAGAGUAGCAUGGCCCCUGCACAGGGAUGACUUGCAAAUUUGUGAAGUGUUCCAUAAAAAA